AAAUGCUUCAAAAUCGCGUUUUUCGUCGGUAAAUAGCAUUGCAACCUUGCGUCAGUUGACACAAGCUUUCACUGCCGCAUCCGGAAUCUCAGUGCAUAGGUGUCUAUGCAUCAUGAGCUUAGGUAUUGUUUCCUUUUUCGUUAGAUCAUGCUUCAACUUAUAGCGCUUAAUCGUUCAUGCCAAACAAAGUUUGCGGACUUGUGAUAUAUUUCCUUCAACAAAUGUCCGUCAAAUGAGGCUACAAAUGAGCUGCUUUCUUCUGCCAAUUAUGUUACUAUAGCACGUUGCUAAUGGAAGGUGGUUAUGAAUAAGACUAUUUGCAGUUGUGCCUCAUCAUCACUUAUUUGCCAAAUGCAAUUUCAAUUGCUGCUGUUAUCCCCGGCUAUAGUGUCUACGGUGGCGAGCUUUCUCCGCGGACCUUCAACUUCAAGACCUUCUACUUCAAGACCUUCAAUUUCUAGACAACUAAAGGGAUAUUCUCGUCAUACUGUACUCUCGAUGACCUGCAUGUCGGGCGUGCCAUGUCCUGAGGAGCGUUGUUUUCAAUACCCUCAGUGCACAUACUGCACCAGACUAUAUUUACGGACGUUGACUGUUUGCUUUAGGCACUGUUUCAAGCAUUGUACGAUGGCCGAAAACAAUAGUAUUUGGUAACGUUUUCAAGUGCCAUUUGGAGUAUCCGAAACUACGACGCAAUGUUAGUCGGAAAUAACGUAUCUAGUUAAUCAUGUUAUCGCAUGAUGUUCUUGUUCAUUGGCAAACAUUAUUUCAGCAGUCGAUACGUCCUCCAAACUUCAGUAACCGUUACUAUAUAGUCCCCGUUCGUCACAAACAACCGUUGACAUUUCGUCAACCUCAAAUUCGAAUAUAUUAACCGUUUACACGCACGAGAAUAUCCCUUUAUCCAAACUAGCAAGUGUGUCUACUGUUUUCUUACUAGGCAAACAAAAGUUUGUCACAGCAUGUGCGCAGUUCACUUUACCUAUGUGCAUUCAUACUAAAAGCCAUUCGUCCACAAGCAAGUUAUUUGCGCAAUUGACGUAAGCUUUCAUGAAGGCCAAACCAAUGCUGAUUCGUCAAUGCUGAUUGUCAGCUUGAAAGUAAAGAUGAGCAAAGUGGUUCAACUGAAUCUUAUGGUUGCAGUAGGGCAUAUUAGAAGUAAGUAAGUGACAAGUAUGUGUCAGCAAUUGCUUAUGCUUCUUAACCCUAGAUACUUUUGAUUCAAUCCUUUUGGUGAUGACGUAAUGUGGCAGAAAACAGUAGACACGCUUCAUCUUAUCGGAAACCCUGAAUGAUUGGUAUUUGUGAGCAUGUGUGCCUGUGAGUGUGUAAGGGUGGAUGUGGGUGUGUGGGUAUGUAUGUGCGUAUGUGAGGAUGUGCGUGUCAUCUUACAAGUAAUUUAGUGAAUGAGUGCAUAGGUACUAGUUUUCAAGUAAAUACGUGCAUGAGUGCAUGUAGUCAGUGGUGUAUGGAACUCGCAUUGUGCCUGCCUGCUGCCAACGAAAUAUGCAAGCCCACACAGAGAAAACAGUUUUGUUGUGCGAAACUUCAUGCUGCUGGCAGGGUUUACAUGCAAGUCACAUAUUGCAGGUCUACCAUAAGCAGAGCAAUGUGACAUCUGAUAAGUAACUCACAGCAACACAUACUCUGCAUGUCCAGGGAAAGUGAGUUGUGCUCGGAACACAUUGGCCAGACAGUUUUGUCCUAUCAAAUUCAGAAUUGUUUUAUCCUCCUCACAGUUGUCAUUAACACUUCAUGAGCACACAUUAUUGCUAGAUCUGAAUGCCAGCUGCCUAUUGCACUGCUGGCACGUAGUUGGAGACAAAGGUGCCGCCAGUUUUCCACCUCGCUGCUGAUACAAUGCAAUACUGCUACAAAAUGUCCGUGUUCUGUGUUUUUAGUGUUGUAUGUUUGUAGUAUAUGUGUCUUGCGUCGUAUGCGCAUUACCUACAUAAGUUUUAAGUGUUCCCGCGAAAGUAGGUACUGAAUUAGCUCAAGCCAGGAUUGCGUUGCGGAGAUAUUUGUAGCCCAUACAAUGUUUUAUGGCGUCAUUUACGACACUUUCUGUUUUUUCUUGUCAUUGUAUGCACGUGAGUUGUGCCGCAUGUUGCGCUUGCAAAUCAUGUUCUCAAUGCCAUUUUCUUUUGAUACAAUUGGUCACCACUACACAUCACUCGCAUACACUCGCCCAAGCAAGUCGGAUAUCAAUCACUGUCCAGAAGUGCAUGAUGCAUUCAACCACGCAUAGAACACUGGCACACCAAGAACAUGAACUCACGCAAAAACGAGAGGACUAUUACACGACUUCGCAUUGGACACACCGCUAUCACACACAACUACAUCAUCACAAGAAGCCCGAGACCGAAAUGCAACACCUGCAACACUUUCAUCACUGUCAAACAUCUGCUACUCACAUGCCCACAAUACCAACACCACAGGACAAACAUACAAACAUACUGCAGAGACGCCAACAUCCCACUAACACUCACAACACUGCUCGGGGACUUACACCCCGAGCUAACAACACUACUCAUCCACUAAAGACACAACACUGGGCUGAUAAAUGACCUGUAAAUCUCCUCCCCUAGAGCCAAGGACAAAAAAGCCAAAAAAAAGCCAAAAAAGAAGCCAAAAAGAAAAAAACAACAUUCAAAACAAUAAGAAUCAAAAUAAAAGACCCCAGAAUGGCAAAAUGGCAAAAAAAAAAACAAAAAACGAAAAAAAAAACAAUAGAAGGGGCAAUCCGGCUACCCGGGAGGAGAUAGCUAGGAACCCUGACCCACCUCUCAGCCCACCCUUACGAGCCAAGAAGACGACGGACACUUCAAGACAAUGGACGGACCAACAACGAAGACGGACGACAGAACCGGGCCCAAAUACAGAACGCUGUGGUGGCCCGUAAGCCACAAAUACCAUACCAUACCAUACCAGUGCAUCAUGCAGCAGAAGAAGCUUCAUUGAACACACUCGUCAUCAUGAACGGCAUCUUAGGAGCUUCAUGAGUUUGGAUCUGUGACCAGUUGUUUUCGCAGUAUCCAAUAGCAACCGUGUAUGACCAGGCGCCGCUUGGACGCCUUGUCCAGCCACGUCUUCCGGGACUGUGUGAUGACUGCCUCUGCAAUCUCAAGUGCCAGUUUCUGCCUCCGGCCUAUUUCUUUAUCAAAGGAUGUUGGUAACUGAACGACCAGCUCUGCUCCAAGAUUCCAAAUCGUUUUACGGUAUUUUAUCCCUACAAAACGUUAAUAUUUGCUGGACGCGUUGAUGCCCGAAUAGGAUGACCUUUAUUCCUAGAUACAGGCAUUCAACGUUGAAUCAAUUACGCUUCUAGCCUUCUGUUUAUUGGCUUUACAUACUUUUUAUUAAUAUUUAUCAUGUGUCUAGCCUGCAAUUCAUUUUACUCACCACCAUCGGACGUCACAACUAUAAGCUUAUAACUACUAUAUACAACUAUAAGCUAUAAGCAGCUAUUCGCUGACUUGACAUAUGAUAUUUUCGCGACGACUCGUUUCGCCCUUCCGCCAUGUUAACUAAUCAUCCGUUACAUCUUUAUGUCAACAGGUAUAGUACAAGUCAUCCUUACCGUCGAUACCGUAGAAGAAUUUGCCGUCGACCACGGAACACAUAUUGUGCUUCCCGUUGCUGGUAAUUUUUUAUUUGUCACUUAGGUGACAGUUACUAUAGUUCGUUUUCUUUUUAAAGUUCGGCCCUGACUGUAAACAUCUUUUUGAACACAGCACGAGAAUUACUGAGAAAAUUGGUUAGCGCCCAUUGAUACCGUUGUGUUAAACGCGGUGCGAUUUAUUAAUUAGUUCAGUUAUCACUCCUGACAAAUCGUCUAUCCCUGUGGGGUUGUAAAUAUGAGCAAAUACGAGCUGAGGGGUCUGGGAAAUAGGAGCCAGAAAGAAAUAACUUUGAUAAAGUUUUUCAUCAGUGAAAUUCAACGUGCGACAACCAUUUUCCUCUUCUUAGUAAUUCAGCUAGCAAUUCUCGUGCUGUGUUCGAAGAGACGUUUACAGUGAGGGUCGAACUUAGGACGAACUAUGGCACCUAUCAGCAGAUAUACGUUCAUAAUGCAACAAGGGAACGAAAAGCGUGUUCAAAACUUUAACUCAUUGUCCUUAUGUGCCUGCAGGCUGAUUUCGCAGUAUCCAAUGGCAACCGUGUAUGACCAGGCGCCGCUUGGACGCCUUGUCCAGUCACGUCUUCUGGGACUGUGUGAUGACUGCCUCUGCACUCUCAAGUGCCAGUUUCUGCCUCCGGCCUAUUUCAUUAUCAAAGGAUGCUGUUAGCUGAACGAACAGCUCUGCUCCAAGAUUCCAAACGUUUUUACGGUAUUGUAUGCCUACAAAACGUUAGUAUUUUUUGAAGGCGGUAAUACUCGGAUGAACUGACCUAUAUGGGUGGGUAUUCAACGUUGAAUCAAGUAGGCUUGUAGCCCUCUGCCUAUUGACUUCUAAGGGUUUUAGUAAAAUUUAUAUAAUAUCUCAUCUGAUCAGCAUUUUCACUCUCAGUCGUCGAAAUUGAAAAAUCAUAAGCUUAGAAAUCCGCGGACUUGACAUAUUAUAUUUUCUCGACGAUUCGUUUCGACUUGCCGUCAUGUCAGCUAAUCAUCCGCUGCUUCUCCUAUUUUCACAGGUGAAUUACCAGUCGUCUUUACCGUCGAUACCGUUGAAGAUUUUACCGUCGAUCAGGGAGCACCCAUUGCGCUGGCCGUUGCUGGCACUUUUUUAUUUGUCACUAGCUAUUAGUUAUCUGCAGAUAUACAUUAGCCACCUGUGCACCCGCUUACACAAGCUCUCAGCAUCUAGUUCUACGUAUGUGUGUGUUUGUUUUAAUUGAAUUGCCAAUGAAUUCGGUAGACAUGCUCCGCCCGCAAACAUGUACCACAUGAUGCAGUCCACUGAAUGUAGCAGUUAAUCUCUCGUAAAAAGCAGUCAUGUUUUCGUAUAGUGUAGGUUUGCAUCUAUGUAAGCAUGUGUUCACACUCAUGAGCGAUCCACACAUGAUAUUGCAUUUCCUGUUCAGUUACAUUUUUUAACACGAUGCUCAUACACUGCGUUGUUAUCUUUCUUUUUUUCGCCUGCUCCUUCCUCCAACUUGUGUCUUUGAGUAUUUCAGUCACAUGCUCAAACGUUCUUAAAUGCUCUCGCCAUCGGUUUACGCAUGCGUUGAAAACGGACACGUGUUGACCAAAUUUAACAAUAUGCGGACAAUGGAUCGACUUCUUGAAGCCUGUGGACGUGAUAAACCUUCUCCAUCACCAUCAAGAGAUCAACAUUUUCGAAGACACUUGCGUACGGCUGGCUUCGGCUGCAGCACAAGCCACAUUCAUCGGCCCAAUCAUCAGUUAUUCAUCCUGCAAGUUUUAAGUCACUUCGUUGUGACCCGGACAUCGUCAUCUUUCAACGACUUCAAAUGACUAUUUCAUUCAUCAUCGUCGAUCAGACUCAUCAUGUAAAGACACUUCCAUAAUGCUAUCUGCCAUCUACGUUUGUGCAGGAAGCAAAUAUCAGGUUGUUAUUAGCUGCAGGCUACUCAGUACCGACUGAACUACUGGCAGUAGUGUGCGAGCACCUAAUACUUGUAUUGUGAUACCAAAGUAAAACGGAUGAUAGCUUAGCGCAUAGCGCCCUACCGCUU